AGUGCAUCCACUGCUCCACCACAGUCUGAUUUCUCAUUAGGAAAACAAAAGGCCUCCCAGGAAUUCGGAGACCUGCAAAGAAGGAGGUAGAAACAGCUUUCAAAUGACUGAAAAGCGUUUUUAAAAAAAUCUAUUGCGAUUUUAUUAUUAACAUCGAUGGAAGCUUACUAACCUUGGAUUUUUAUGAAAAUUGGCUUAGCAUCCCAGAUGGAACUCUGGCUGGAAAAAUUAAUGGCAUUCAAAGGUAAUGAUACAGUAAACACUUGGGGAACUGCACCAAUAUAUAAGCAAUGCUUUUGUAAGGUACAUAGGCUUGUGUUUACAGGAUUACAAACUGGAAUGAUGUUCUAUGCCAAGAGGUUUCCUUAGGUCACACAUGUAUUGUCACUUUUUAAACAUACCCAUUUCUCAAGCUAGCAUGUUGAACCAUGUCUAUAAUCUUACCUGGGAGCCUUCUCCUUUAUAAAUGUCAUGAUUUAGAAGACAGUCUAUGUAACACGUGUUCAGGUCAGUUUAGAGUAUUGGUUUAGUUCCUGUGUGAGACAAAUUAAAAGAAGUAAGUGUGUAUAAUACCUGUGGGUUACUUGCAUCCUAGAAUUGUUACCAUGGUAUUAUGAAUAGUUCACAUGGUCAAUAUGUGUCAUUGAUUAGAACAGGAAUCUCUUACUGAAUUCUUCUUUCUCAACUAUAACUACCUAGAGAAGUCUAGAUCAGGUAUAGCUUUGACUUUUUGAAUCAUUUUUCUGUGAUACAUAGAAUGAUUUCAUACUUAACCAGAGCUUUGAGCUCCCAUUGCAACCCAGGAGCCCUGCAUCUCUGGCUUGCUGUAGCAAAGCUUUUAUAAUUGCAUUUUGUAGGGUCACAAGUGUGCUUUCUGCUCCUUAUGUUCUAGAGUGUCCCAAGAGUGUUACAUGGACUUAUACUACAUUAGAUAUUAAAUGUGUCUCCACUCCAUUAUGGUUGGAAAGAUGGUUUGCUGUUUAAUAACACUGGAUGUUUUCAUACACAGAAUACACAUGGUUUUCAAAAAUCUUCAUUCAUUCUAAUACCAGGACAUUGAGUAGAGUCCAGAGUGUGAUUUUGCUCCUUAUGUUCUAGAUUGUUAUAAGGGUGUGUCAUCGAUUCAUAAUACAUUAGAUAUUAAAUGUGUCCCCAUGGUGGCAAGAAAGAUGGUUUGCUGUUUGAUAACACUGGAUGGUUUCACACAGAGAAUAUACAUGGUUUGCAACAAUAUUCAUUCAUUCUGUUACGAGGGAUCCUGACAUGUUCCUCUGGCUUCUGUGGGUAGAAUGAAAUUCUUCUAGUACAAUGAAAUUCAUAAAUAAUUUGAAAAAUGUUUUUUCUGUGAUUCUGUACAGAAAAGUGAUUUGCAGAAAAUAUUUUAUGUAAUACUCUAGCUAUAUAUUCUUCCUUCUUUUGAAUUCUGAUUAUACUGUGAGUUGGUCUACAAAACAUUUACCCUAUUUGUUCUUUGUAGUUAGAUUUCUAACUUACAUUAUUUUCAAGUUGGUCUAACCUAAAAUUCUCCUUUUUUCUUUGUUUAGCCUAUUGCAACAGAUCCUAGAACCAAACUUUAUAGUAUUAAAACAUCUCAUAUGUGUAUUAGUAAUAAUAAAAGAUUCUUCCAUGAAUAAUUUAGACAGUUACAGGUUAUCUCUGCGCAUAGCUCCACAUGUACUGUGGGGUCAGACUUCGAGAGAUUCAUUAUUUGGGAGUGACGUCUUAAGAAAGGUAAGAGGAUCUGAAAUUUGCCUUUGGGAACAAAAGUCUAAUUAUUAUUCAAUAAUUGAGAAUACUUUACAAAGAUGAUUUCUCUAACAGGAAACCCUAGGAUUGCAUUCUUAUGGAGUGGAGUAGAAUAUGUAUUGAUCUAUUUCAGGAAGAUUUGGGAAGGGAGAUUUUUAAUGUAGUUUAAAGUAAGUUAAUCAUUUCUUUCUACUGUUCUUUCCUUCUUUCUUCUUAGGUAUUGAUUUAGAUAUUGAUGUUUUAGCCAACAAUAAUCUGUACAUAUAAUGGUAAUCCAAGAAGACUAGAGUGAAAUUUUAAAAGAUCUGGAUUACCUAGGUUUUGUUUGUUUUUUCCACUGUAGCCCUAUUUUUGGAGUAUAGAAUAGUUGUGUUUCACAGUGGUGAGACCAUGAUAUCACUAAAUAUUCACAUCAUGUGAAUUGCUGGUCAUAUUAAAGCACAUUGCAUAUGUGUGUGUGUAUGUAUAUACAUAUAUGUGUGUGUAUGAGUGUUUUUGCAUGUGUACAUAUACGUGUAAGUGUACUUGUACAUGUGCAUGUAUUAGUAUAUGUAUAUACAUAUGUAAUGAUGAAUAAUUGGUGUAUAUUAUUUUGUAUGCUUUCCAUUAUUUUAGCACUAACCUAUUUCAGGUACAGUUUUAUGAUCCUCAAGUAUACUGUAGCUGUUAAUUUUAUUAUAAACGCAUAUACAUCAAUAUUCUUCACUCAUUUAUUUACUUUAUAUCCUGAUUGUAGUCCCUUCCUCCAAGUCCCAUCUUUACAACCUGUUUUUCCCUCCAUUCUUCUUUACCUCAGUAGUGUAGACCUUCCAUUGACACCAACCCACUCUCAUACAUCAGUUCACAACAGGAAUAAGUGAAUCACCUUCCACUGAAGCCAUACAAGCAGCACUGAUAAAAGAAAGCAAUCCAGUUGUAGACUACAGAGUCAGAGCCAGUCUGCAUACUGGCUAGGGGACAUGUGUGUGUGUGUGUGAGUGUGUGUAUGAGUGUGAGUUUGCAUGUGUACAUACAACUGGUAGGGGACAUACCUGAAGAUCAAGCUGCAUAUCUGCUACAUAUAUAUAGGGGCCCUAGAUCCUGCUGCUGGAGCAUAUGAUGGGGGAGAUCCUGCAGAUUCAAAGCUGAAGGAUCACAAUGAUUAAAGGCUACAGCAAGAUACCAGGAUAUAGAGGGAGAGGCAUCUCCAGGACGUUCCAGUAUUGAGAGUAUAGAAAAAUGCAGAGAGCUUAAACCAGACUUAUUUCACUAUACAUUUGCAAGAAAAUCUGUUUGGACAAGAGGGUAUAAUGUGUGACCACUUACAGCACAACACAUCUCACACACUGUAUUUUUAAUUUUUUAAAUUUUAGUUUAAUUUUUUAAAAUUAAAUUUAAAUUUUUAUUUAAUUUUAAUUUUUGAAAUUUAGUGAGGGGGGAUUGUUUCCAAAGGAUAUAUGGAAGGAUUGAAAAAUGAAAUGAGAGUUACUUGGUAGCAUGAUUAGAAAUUUCAGAGAAUUAAUAAAGGACACAUAUUUUGAAAAGGAUAAAAGAUAAAGAAAAUGUAAAUAUGACAGAAAGCAAGGUACAUGUUAACUAGUAGCUCCCAGGUAUUAGGUCCACAGGAAAGAAGAUACCAUGAUGUUACUCACAAUGGAGGAUGAUAGCCCAAGGGAUAGCUUGAAUAAGAUUCUUGCUCAGGACUGUACUUGGCUUGAACUAGAAACGUAGCUUGUUUAGUUAAUUUCUAAUUACCAAGGUACUGGAAACCUAAAAUCCAAGACUAUAUCAAACUGCAUGUUUAGUCCAAAUGAAACAAUAAAAUGUAUUUUUCACUCUUAAUAACUAUUAAAGAUUCUUCCUUUAUGGACAGUUCUUUUCAAAUAUUCUUCUGUGUGGUCAGGUAUGAAAACAAAGAAGCAAAACUAUCCUGUACAAUCUGCAUAUAAAAUAAGACUAUCCUGUGCAGGAGUGCUCAAAAAUAAACAGGUGCAUGGUGAGAAGAAACAUAUGUGAUGAAUAGAGUUUGCCUAACCUAAGUCAUCAUCUCAGAAGAAAAGUAACUUACCAGCGUUGUUCAAUUUAGGAAGUGUCAUAAUUUUCUACAAUUGCUGUGACAAAACACUGAUGAAAAGCAACUAAUGGAAGACAGGUUACACUCCACAAUAUACUUGCAGUUACCAGUUAAAUACUGAGAAAUGUCAGAGCCAAAAAUAAAACAGGGAGGCAAGAACUGAAGCAGAAGCCUAGUAGGAGCACUGCCUCCUACCUUGUAUCUCAUAUCUUUCCUUUUCUGACUAAUAACUCAAGGGUGGCACCAUCCUGGAGAUCUGGGCCCUACAAAUUCCAAGGUUAAUCAGGACAAUAUCCCUUAGGCUUCACUAUACAAUAGGUCCAUCUGAUGGAGGCAUUUUCUCAAUUAAGACUCCCUCUUCUCACCAACUUCUCUCAGUCACAUUUCUAUUGCCUUAAUAAAACAUCAGGAUUUAAAAGACCAACCAAAGAGUGCACAUGGGGGGACCAUGGCUCCAGCUGGAUAUGUACCAGAGGAUUGUCUUAUUUGGCAUCACUAGGAGGGGAGCUGCUUAGUCCUGAGGGGCUUGAUGGCCUAGGGUAGGGGAAUGCUAGGUUGUUGGGGCAGGAGUGUGUAGUCAAGUGAGAGAAAACUGCAAUAGAGGCAGGGGAGGAGAUAUAGGAUUUGUGGAAGGGAACUGUGAAGGGGGAUAAGUUUUGAAAUGUAAAUGAAUGAAAUAAACAAUAAAAAAUAAAACUACAUGACCAGGGAAACUUAUUGAAGUAGGUGGUUAUUUGGGACCUACAAAUGCUGAGCGAGUAUAGCACCUCAGUGUCAUGACAGAGGAGCACGACUGCAGAAAAGAAGAAAAAACAAACAGGAAGCUGAGACCUGAUGGUUCUUAUCUUGGGAAGCAAAAAUGUAGCAGAGAAAGUACAUUGAAAAUGGGCACCUACCUUUUGUAACUACAAAUUCUAAGCAGUGGCACUCUUCACCAGGCAGACCAAGGCACCAGAAAAUUGUCAAUGAGAGGGUAUUGCGAUGCCUGGAACUAGAGAGGCAUCCCAUUCAAAACAUCACAAUAAACAGCUACCCCCACCCACACACAAAAGAGUAACACACAGCAGUCAUUAAUUUGGUACACUCACAGUUUUUUUGCAGCAUAUCAGUUCUGAAAUGUUGCUUUGGUUAAGUAAUUCUUCUGUUCUUUGCAAUAUGCAUGAAAUUUUAACAAGUUGUAUAAAAAUGCAAAAGACUUAGGGUCUCCAUUUCAAGACUUCAUUGCAUGGGUUCCUAUCUGUAAUUUUCCUCCUAGUAUUUCUUUUCAUUUUUAAAUUUAUUUUGUAAACUAUGUGAAAUGACAAUCUUGUUUAUGCCUUGUGGUGUUACAGAUGUCUCAUACAAAUUAUGAUUGACAACUAUGAUCCAAUAUUUGGAAAUGAUGAUAUAUUUAGUAAACACAUUGACAAAAGGUCUGAAGACUUAAAGACAUACAAAGAAUUAAUAAAUUAUUCUGGAAAAUCUCCUAUUAUGAUAAAAGCCAUAGCUGGCCACAACUGGAAAACCAAUGAUAUUGAUGAAAAAUUUAAUAUUUCAUAUGCUGCACUGUAGGAAGAAGGUCCUACAGAGAAACAGAAAGGCUAUAUAUAUAUAUACCUAGCCACCAGUUUUUUCUGAUACAACACCACCAAGAAAGAAAUGCUUAUUUGGCAAAAAUCUUACAAGCAUUUAUGUCGACAGAAAGCUGCCUGCUCCAAUACUUGACUUCAUUGCAAACACUGAAGGAAGUUUACUUACUUCUGACUUAUAUGAGAAUUGACUUAACAUCCCAGAUGAAGGAACUCUGGUUGGAAAAAUCAAUGCCAUCCAAAGACUUCUACUGAAAAUUCCUCAGGCAAACUUUAUCCUUCUAAAGCAUCUCAUUUGCAUAUUAGUCAUAGUAAGAGACUCAUCCACGAAUAAUUUAGACACUAACAGGUUAUCUAUCCGGAUAGCUCCUUAUGUUUUGUGGGAUCAGACUACAAAGGACGCAUGGUUUGGGAGUGAUGUAUCAAGAAAGAUGUCCAUUAUACAAAUCAUGAUCAACAACUAUCAUCAAAUAUUUGGAAAUGAUAAUAUAUUUAAUAAACAUAUUGACAGAAGAUCUGAGGAUUUAAAGACCUGUGCAGAUUCAAUAAACUCUUCUGGCAAAUCACCUAUUAUGAAAGAAUUCCUAGCUGGCCACAAUAAGAAAACAUGAGAUAAUGGUGAAAAAUUAAAAAUUUCAUCCAUUGCUCUGCAGGAGGAAGGUCCUACAGGACAGAACAGAACAACUACCACAUAUAAGUGAUAGAAGGUGACUGAAGACAUUAUAAGGUCAUUCUAUUUUAAUGUUCCCUUCUACCUUCCCCUUAAUCAUAGCAGAACAAUUAUUACAAGAUCCUGCUUCAGCAUUCAUAUGCUAUCAUAAUAAAUGUUAUAAUAAAUAAAAGUGUUAUUGUUUACACUCCAA